UGUGCUACCAGGAGCUCAUUCAGGGUCACUGUCUUAGCCUGUACUUUGCAUGUAGGAGCAGCAUGCAAAGGUUUGGGGAGCCAGGGCUUCUGUGGAGUCAAAGCUUGAAUAGAGGAGAAAAGGGGGUGUCUGUUAUUUUACACGCCCCACACUAUCUGUUCUAAAGAGAGAAGAGCAAUAUGCUGUGAUGUGACAGACUGCUAGAAUCAACAGCUGAAUUUUUAAAUAAUACAGAAGGAUGAAGAGCCUCAAUGUUUGACUCUUGGGGAGCUGUGGGUGGCAGUAGCUGCUGUUGGGAGGAGGAUUUGGGUUCAUCCCACCUGAGGUUUGACAUUUAUUCCAUGGGAUGGGACAGCAUUCCCUGUGGGCUCACUCUGCAGGAAGCAGAGACCGAGGUGCACAUCUGGGUUGCUAUUCAGCUCACCUCAGCUAUUUCUCCCUCUGCAGUUUGAAGGGUGCUGUGUGUGGGCUGUGGGCAUUUAACACUUUAAAUUGAUGCUUAAUAUUUAGGUGGGAUGCAAACGUGCUUAGGUGCACAAUCAGUUCUUCAGUGCCCUGCUAUGAUCUGCUGAUGUGAAAGGCUUAGUUAUAGACUGUGCUUAUUGUGGCUACAAAUAAUGCUUUGAGGCUUCCCAAAAUUCUAUUGUUUUAAUACAGCAGUUGGCAAUGGCUGAAAUUCCUCUCCCUACUUUUUCCCAAGACAGUGAAGGGAAGGAGAAAAGCAGAAAAGGAAACACAAUAAAAUGUCCCUGUGGUAUUUUUUUCUAUUAUAUACCUGCCAAAACCUGUAAUGGUGUGUUAAGACAAAAGGCUGAGCCCUCGGUGUUGUCCAAGGGAAAAAGCACAGAAAACUCUAUUAAACCCUCUGUAUUGCAUUGACCUUUGGUUUGCUCCCAUCUUUUUCUGGUUUCUGUGAUGUGGCACACAAUAUCUGUGGGAAAGGGUGGGUACUGCAGAUCCUGCUUGAUUUCAGCUCAGAGGUUUGAGGCACACAGGUAGCACAUGGAGUGAAACCAUCAGGGCAGAUGGAAAUCUCAUUUCUGUGCUGGUAUUCUCCAUAACACCUAAGUGUUGGCUUUGUCCUGCUCUUGGGCUGCUCCUUUGAGGAGCCAGUACACCCCUGACCUGCAUCUGCUGGCUCCUCAGCCCUCCACUGAAGGUGCAGUUUGCUCAUGCUGCGCAUCAGGGAGCCUGGAGCUGCUCACAGCUGAUGGAAGAGCAAGAAAAAUGUUUCUUCGACCUGGUUUUUCUUCCCCCCUUUGUUAUCAGGAAGAACAAGGGACUAGAAACUUCUGUGAAUUCUUCUUGAGGAAGAAGCUCAAAAGGAGUUUGGAAAGCAUGUUAAUCCUCAUUGCUGUCUGGAUGAGGCACUGAAUUUCUGCUGAGACUUGGGCAUGGUGCCCUGUGGUGACAGGAGCUGUGCUUCUGCUCCUGGGGAGCUCUAUCAGACACCCCUCAGAGUAAAGCAGAAAGGAAAGAGGGUUUGUCCAUUCUGUCAGCAUCAGAGGAGCUGGGAAGUGCAGAAUUGGAAUAAGGAAAAUGUCAAGUGUGAUACAAGGACCCUUAAUGUAAGAGAAUCACAGAAUCACAGAGUGAACUGGGUUGGAAAAGACAUUUGAGAUCAUCAAGUCUGACCUAAGACCUCAUCAACUAAACCCUGGCACUGAGUGCCAUGUCCACGUUCUUUUUAAACUGUUCUGUUUGGAAAUAAACUUUUGCUUUAAAACUUUUGACUUGUGGGUGAAACACUGGAAUUAUGGAGCUGACUGGAAAAAAUUCCAAAUUUAGAAAUAAAAGCUGUUUUCUGGGUUUAAACCCACUUACUGCUCUGAUAUGGAGCAUUUUCAAGUUAUCUUUGCAGUCACAGGCGACAGAAUACUUUUGCCAGUGCUUAGACAUGGAAGCAAUGCAUGAUGCUGGGAUGCAUGGAAGCUCCUGGGAAUUGUGGCAGUAUGGGUUUGUUUAUAUUUACAAAUUAGUUGGACUUGUUCUUGGCACUUGUUUGGAUUUAGCUUAAGAAUAAUCCAUAUUGUCCAAAUAACUUCCUAAUAAUAAAAACCCACAGUCACUGUCAGAGCUAAAUUCCAAUAUUUCACUGCAAAGUAGCUGGAGAAGUAGCUAUUGCCUUAAAUAAAAAUCACAUUUUCCCAAACCAAGCUGUAAGCAGUGAGAAUUGUUGAUUUUCAAGACUUUUAAAACUGAGCCAAUAAAAUAUGCUGAAUCUUACCUUAUCUACACUUUGAAUACCAAAAAGCAUUGACAACUCU